rnacentral:snoRNA from 1 species
UCGACUUUACUCUUCAGGAUCUGAUAGUUCAGUCAGUAUCCGUCUGUUGUUUCCCAACAACAUCUGGCACCAAUACAUACGGUGGGCGACGACGCGCAGGACCGGCUCUGAAAAGGGAGGCGUGUGGUCGCUCUUGUCCUUCUCGGGACAUGGCGGCCGCAAUCGAGGAUCUUGCCCGCCCCGCUUCUUCCAGGGGUGCGGUGUGGAGCCAGGUCCAUUCUGACACCU